CAUGGACAUCAUUUCUCUGUUACAUAUUUCAAUUCUUCAGGGAUAAAUUCUGAAUACCAGCCUGCAAAACUCUCGUUUAAGGAAGUUCGGGGUGCAUAAAUACGAUGGCAGAGAUGAAACAGAAAGCAUCUAAGAGCAAAUCCAUUUGCUGCCCUACAGCUUUGACAGCUGAAAAAGUUCUGUUCGUGCUGCAAAACAAGCUGACCUUCUAGCAGGGGCCAGGCAUGAGAUCCUCGCCAAAGGUGAAUGGCUUGGAAAGCUCUGCAUGUGCGUGAAAAGGGAAACAGUGGAAACUAUUUUUGUUUGGAACACACUUGUGCAUUGAAAAGCAGUUCUGUACAAAUGGUGUUCUAACUAAAUAGGUUUGUUUCCUAUACGUCUGACCGCCACAGCUCCCCAUGCUCUGUGCAUGUUUGUUGUUAGGACCACUGCAGUCUGUAGAUGUUGUUUAAUGCACAGUGCUUCCAUGAUUGCUGUGAGUGGAGCAGGUGCUGACCCAGCUUUGGUCAUAUGGGGUACUGCUCUGCACUGAGUUAAGUCAGUGCAGCUCCUGGAAUUUUGUUGGUUCUUGAGGUCCUGAGAGGAGCAAUCCAGUAACAAGCCUUUUGUAAUAAGUACAUCUAAUACACGUUGUUACUUUCAUACUUCAGCCUUCAAUCAAACCUUAAGCUCUUCCAGGAACACCCAAGGUGCAAGAGAUGCAGGCAUAGAUGACCUAAAACUGAGCAUCAUUUGUCUGACAGGGAGGUUAAUAAUGUUAGUCUUUGAGGGAGCUCUGACAGAAAACAUAAAUAGCAGGACACAGUGUUCCUUCUUGCGUCUUGCACUAAUCCUGGCAUGGGAGCAAUCUACCACCACAAAUAAGGUUAUCAGCAUCAAAUCUCCAGCCAACCGUAAAUCUCUCCUGGGUUAGUGAGCUCUGGCUGCACAGCAAUGUGACCUCAGGCAGGAGGAGGCUCUGAAUUGUUGGGUCUGCUCGAGGUGGUACAGCACAGGCUACACAACCUGAUCAAUGUGUGGAAGUGUGAAUUCUUACCGAAUACUGGUGAAGCUGUCUCCCAGUUCCUGGAACAGCUGCAGAGUCCAGUAGGCGCUGAUAAACACAGUGCAAAUGGGUGGGCAGCAGGUGCUUGGCAGCAUGUGGGCUACAGCCCAGAAAUAGAUUGUAUUGAUCGUAAAUAGCUCACUGCUAGCUUAUGUUGGUGAAGGCAAACCUCUCCUUACGAAUGUGUAAUAAACAAAACACUGAUCAUACAUACGUAGUGGGACCUGUUUUGAAAGUUACCAGCACUUCUAUUUACUGCGUCUUAUUUUACACUAAAAAGUACUUGAGAAUAAUGCUAAGUAUAGAUAUCUCAAAGUAAUAGGAGAGAGUAUUAUCCCUGGAAUGGGAUGACCUCAAUGUAGAAGAGCAAAGGUUUCUUUGCUCUUUCUAUGUCAUCAUCUCGAUGGCAGUGGGUGUCAUGCUGAACUGAGAGCCCACACAUUGUCAGUGUACAGCAACACGUUUCAGCUGAAUCCCAAACCAGGAACCCAAGGGUUUUCCCAUUUCCUCCUUUGUCUUUUCCAAUCUUUUGUAAUCCCAAGUGCAAACGAUGCCAAGAGUCACAACAGGUGGAUGAAGUGCUAGCAAGAAUAUUGAGAUAAUGUUUUUCUAAAAAAAACAAAAACCCACAAGUAGUGUUUGUUUCAAAGUUAAAGAUGGCUGUGGUUAAACUUUGUUUUGAAGUCAAUGAGAAUCUACUGACCCUAAUAUAAGAGGAGCUAAUCUGAGAGAGCCAGCAUAAACAUUCAGAGCUGCUUGGCUAUAAGUAGCAGGCUUAAAAACAGAGACCAAAUACCCCAUCAAACACACACACGUUGCUGUUUGUGUACUGUGGAGAAAAAGAGGAGCAACAGCACUCCUGAGCCAUGGGAGAGAGCAGAUAGCUUCCAUUUUUGCCGUGACACUGCUGCCAACAGCGUGGUGUAUCUGAUUGUGAAUGGUGUAAGUGAACGUGAGCUAUACUGAGAGGUAAAUAAGAGAUGUACCCAGUCAGAUGUGCAGCUGAGAAGGAAGGGCAGGGAAGGCUGUGUAAAGGCACUGCUGAACAGGCAGGAUUUCCUCUCGACAGUUUCAGCCUGGUGAAUGACACAGAGCCUAGCGUGUUACACAAGCUGUUACGUCAGUGUGAGUGUUAUACAUCGAAAUCUGUGCCAUGGGAGCAUAAUUAUGGAUGCAACAUCGGGCAUGAAAAGGAACUGUUUGAGUUACGUUUACUUGUAUAGUUUUGUGCAGUGUUCAUGAGAAGAUGCAUUCCUUUAAAUCUAGAAAUUUGAAAUCCAGAUUUCACGUACUGUUUUAAUUUUUGAAGGUGUUCAACACGCGUUCUGUUUUCCUAGCUCGGCGGUGGCAGCAGCCAUGCUCCCAUCUCCCUGCAGACUGUUCACAGGUAGGUGACAUAAGAGAUCUGCCUGGAGCUGGUACUUUUUAGUGCCCUUCUGCAUUCUCUAGUUUCUGUACCACUUCGCAGCCGCACAGAACGCCUAUAAACAUAACCUGGACUCACCUUUUGUACUUUCUCAUUUUCUCCCCAGACAAGAAUGGUCCGGUCUGGACUUUGCAGUAAUCUCUGAUGUACAAACAAUCUAUCUCCAGCGAUGCAGGAAAGGAGCCUCAGCCCAUCAGUGAUGUGUGCUCUUCUGGCAGCAGGGAGUGCAAAGCUUUACACAGACCGUGGGAGCUCAGGUUCCCAGCUGCUAGAGAUGGAUUUGCCUGGUUUGGUGCAAGGGAAGACCCAGUUCUGCCAUCGGCCCUGUGCAGAAGCAAAGAGCAGACUGGUGCCAGGCCCUUUGCGUGCUAGCACUUUGCUGAGCCAUCAGAGAGGUCAUCCACAUUGAGGAGAGCUGUUGUGGGACAAAGAGAGAUGUAAACCCAAACUAUUUCUGUUGUAUCUGUGUGUCAGAUCCUACAGCCAGGUGUUAGAAGAAAAGAAAACUGAAUGUGUGGUGUUAAGCUGCAGCUCCAGGAACUGGGGGCUCUUGAAAAAGCAGACUGCAGAAGUUAGUCUCUGCCUGAGAACUGCGUGCUUUUAAUUUGCGUUCAGCUCUAUCAGGAACACCCGGCACUGUCUAAAGCCAAAGCCAGAGUCCCAGCCUUUCACUUUUCCUUGCCCAAACCCUGUCAGAUACUGUUACUACAGUACAUUAUUAAAUGCCCUGUUAUCUAACGUGCUCUGAUUGUUUGCUGCCACUGCCAUGGCAGCAGCAAGGAGUCAUUUCCUAACAGCCUCACUUUUACUGUGCUGUGUCACGGGGCAGUGCAAGCGACAGGUGACACCACGGUGACAUCCGCAGUGCGCAUGGUGACAAUCCUGAAUGAAUCAAAAGGGAAGGGCACAUCUCAAUAUGUAUAUCCUGGUGUGCAGCAGUGACUGAUACGGAAAGUAUUAAGAAGCAGCAUAGUGAAUGGUGCAUAUGGGAGUGCUGCAUGUACGUGGGGCUUUGCUAAAAAAAGCUUUGUGCUGUCUGGAAGUCAUUUGAAUAGAUCUUAAACCUACCGAGCAAGAGCUGCACCUGGGCGUGCUGCAAAAUCCAACAAGCAGAGCCAGCAAGUUUCUGGAAUUUCUUUUUCUUCAGAGACAUGUGUGAGCAGUAAAGCGUGUCCCUCUCCAUGGAGGGGUGGGCUGGUGGGGGAUGGAUGGCAAUCUGCUCCUGCUGACUGUCGGCAUGGGACUGUGCACAGCAGAUGCACAGUAAUCACUGUCCCACUGCAGGCUGGUACCCUGGGAUGUGUGUAAUGGGUAAUUAGUUGUGGGGUCAUCAAUAACACUGCUGUGGCUCGCAGCAGAGAGGUCAGCCAAACUGACUGCAUGUCAGGCUUGGGUGCCACACUAAUGGCUCCUACGUGUGAGAAAUACACACGUAGGUUUAGCACUGUGCUAUCAAGUAUUUGAGAGCUCUGAGUCACUUCUUGAAUUUUCCCCACCAGCAAAAUGGCUGGAAGCAGUUUUGCCACCAACCCCUGUUUCAGCGUGUGCUCUCACCCCAGCCCAUGUGUGAGAGCCAGCACAGUGCCACAGCCGGGAAGGGAUGCAGGCAGCCAACUCAUCAUCAGCUGCAGAGGGGCCAGUGCCAGCAUCCUGCGGGGGUGAGAAAGUGUGGGUGAGAGGCUAGUAUUGCAACACCCUAAAAAUAGGCAGGAAGUCCCCAGCCAGAGCUGCUGGCAUCGUGUUCUCGCCUCUGACAGCACAGCAUGAUUCUCAGCAAUGGGAUGCAGCUUUUACCCCUUUCUCAAGUAACACAUCCCUAAAAUAAAUGCUAGGAAAGAACUUUUGUGCUAGAGUGUGCCAGGUUGUCUUUGCUGUAAAACAAGCUCAUCCCAGAGUCUUACAGUGAGAAUGUGGACAGAGGACUUUUAAUGACAUUGAUUUUUUUUUUUUUUGGAACAGUUGCACUUUCUUAGCCACUCAAUUCAGCUUUAACAAUCACACAUACCAAUGCUGCUCCUACUCUAGUCGGUCGUAUAACAGAGCUUUGAUGCAUUUGU